rnacentral:tRNA from 1 species
GGAAAUGUGGCUGAGCGGUUAAGGCAACCGACUGUUAAUCGGAUGUAGGUCUGGCUUCCCUGAACAGAUUACCUGACCUCGCGGGUUCGAAUCCCGUCGUUUCCGCCA